UACUAAGGGGGCUAGCGUUGCUCGGAAUGACUGGGCGUAAAGGGCGUGUAGGCGGACGGCUUUGUCGGGCGUGAAAUUCCAGGGCUUAACCUUGGGUCUGCGUUCGAGACGGGUUGACUAGAGUUUGGAAGAGGGUCGUGGAAUUCCCAGUGUAGAGGUGAAAUUCGUAGAUAUUGGGAAGAACACCGGUGGC
rnacentral:rRNA from 1 species